rnacentral:lncRNA from 1 species
UGAAAAAAUUUCUACUAGAAGGCCUUACUCAUCAUAAAACAUGUAGUUUUAUUCAGAAGUGUUAAGAUCAGUGUUUUUAGGACUGCGAUACUGCGAACGCAGACAACUUAAUAGUUCAGACUCAAAAUAGCCUUUUCCCCCGUUAUUUUCCAUUCUUUUUUAACCUUAACGUGCAUCUUUUCAAUGGGAAUUGAGUCCUGUCAUCACCAUGCCCCCAAAGUUGAAAGUUUAAGAAACUAAAGUAUGAUGAGGAUUACAAAACUAUAAACAUUGGCAACCUGGAGACUACUCCUGAGAAUUGUUGCUGCACAGCCAAGGAGCCAUAUGGAAAUCUUGGAUUCUUUGUUUUGAAAAGGUUGUCGUUACUUCUACCACCAAAGUUAAGAGACAACGUGAAAUAACUAUUAAUAACAGAUAAGGUGAAGAGACAAACACGGAUUUUUAAAAUUAGAAGUCUACUUGGUACAACAAACAUUGAACAAAUUGGCAGAUAACAUCAGCUCUUUCAGAGAGUUCAACGUGUUACUUUGCUCGGGGUUCUGCAGUGAGUGGGGCUGGCGGUAGCAGAUUUCCCUUUGAAGGGCAGAAACUGCACAGCUCCGUGGAUCAAUUUUUUCAGGCAGAAGGUCAGACCCAACAACUGCAUACCUGCAAAGACCAAAGAUGCACCAAUUCAGCAACAGUUGAGUUGGGUGCGAGUCUGGGAAGGAAGGGAGGAGCUGUUUUGUUUUCUUCCCAGAGAAGGUGACUGAUGGGAUGCUGCUCUGAAGAAGCCUGGAACCUGUUUUUCAGCAGAAAAAAAACCCCUUAUUCUAAAAAAACCCAGGAAACCUUAACUCCCACUGACACUGGAAGAAGCAAUGGGCUCUUGGCAUCUCAGAAAAGCAGACUGCAAGUAUCUCAGAGUGGGCACCCCAGUAUCAAGGUACUCAGCUAAUGAAUGCUGGUGGAAAGGUGACACCUUAAGCCAGCAGAAGUUUGAGAUUUCCUGAAGGAAAACAUUGUGUUCAUGGACUAAGCUGGCAAAAGGCACAGAGUAAAAAAACCUGAGUAAAGAAGAGGAUGAGAGGAGACAAGUAUUUUAUUUUUAAACCUUAUGAAUUUCUGAGAAGUUCUGCUUUGCUGCUUUCCUAGGGAAAAAGACAAGGUUAGGAAAACAGGAAUUUCAGACUAUCCUAGCGCCCUGAUACUGUGAUAAAGAACUAUAUUACCAUUAAUUGAUGCUUCUGAGUGCAUUGGCAUUGAUUUAAUACAACCACACUCUUUAUGCAGAGAACAUUCUAUUCUCAGAGGGUAAUCUAGACCCAUGCAAACAAUAUAGAUGUUUCCUGAUAACAUGAUUUAGAAAG